rnacentral:rRNA from 1 species
AACGAACGCUGGCGGCAUGCCUAACACAUGCAAGUCGAACGAGACCUUCGGGUCUAGUGGCGCACGGGUGCGUAACGCGUGGGAACCUGCCCUUAGGUUCGGAAUAACUCCCCGAAAGGGGUGCUAAUACCGGAUAAUGUCUUCGGACCAAAGAUUUAUCGCCUUUGGAUGGGCCCGCGUUGGAUUAGCUAGUUGGUAGGGUAAAAGCCUACCAAGGCGACGAUCCAUAGCUGGUCUGAGAGGAUGAUCAGCCACACUGGGACUGAGACACGGCCCAGACUCCUACGGGAGGCAGCAGUGGGGAAUAUUGGACAAUGGGCGGAAGCAUGAUCCAGCAAUGCCGCGUGAGUGAUGAAGGCCUUAGGGUUGUAAAGCUCUUUUACCCGGGAUGAUAAUGACAGUACCGGGAGAAUAAGCUCCGGCUAACUCCGUG